CCUACGGGGGGCAGCAGUGGGGAAUAUUGCACAAUGGGGGACACCCUGAUGCAGCGACGCCGCGUGAGUGAAGAAGGCUUUCUGUAUGUAAAGCUCUAUCAGCAGGGGAGAAGAAAGACGGUACCUGACUAAGGAGCCGCGGCCAACUACGUGCCAGCAGCCGAGGUAAUACGUAGGGGGCAAGCGUUAUCCGGAUUUACUGGGUUUAAAGGGAGCGUAGACGGCUGUCCAAGGCUGAAGUGAAAGCCCAGGGCUCAACCCUGGGACUGCUGUGGAAACUGUGGAGCUAGAGUGCUGGAGAGGUAAGUGGAAUUCCUAGUGUAGCGGUGAAAUGCGUAGAUAUUAGGAGGAACACCAGUGGCGAAGGCGGCUUACUGGACAGUAACUGACGUUGAAGCUCGAAAGCGUGGGGAGCAAACAGGAUUAGAUACCCCUGUAGUC
rnacentral:rRNA from 1 species